GGGUAGAAACAUAGCAGCAAUAGACUGGUUACUUGCAGAUGGCAGUUGGAAGUGAACUAUUUAUGGCCUUCCUCAUGAAUGUCUUAAGACUGAGUAGAACCAGACAGACAAGAUAACUUCCAACAAUGACAUUGCUUCCCUGUUAAAGUGGAUACACAGAGAAGAGAGAAAUUUGGAAGGAAAAAGUCCAAUUGCAACAUCAGUGAUUUCUGAGGUAUGCUAAAGGAAAGGAAGAUUGUGCAAACUUACAGCAGAAAAGGGUUCAAUUGUUUUCAAGAACUGAACUGUUUGCAACAUCUGUCUGUCUAUCGCUAUUGCAUCAAGUGGAUUUGAUUCCUUCCGGGAUUACAGCUGUUGGCUUUUUAUGAUUGCUAUGUAUCCUCCAGUACCUCACCCAAAUGUCUAUUAUUCAUAUGGCAAACCGUGAUAACAAGCACCAGCAGGAUAUGUGAUGACAGCUGGGGGUGGGACCAUUAUACUGCAUUUUCCUCAUCUAAUAUCCACAUUACUACACUUCAAAAGUACUUCAUUGGCUGUGAAUCACAAUUUGGACAUUCUUAGGUUGUGAAAAUGUGUUCUAUAAAAGAACAUCCUUUCUUAACAGGAGUCCCUUCAUAGCCAUCAGAAACAGAAACCCUAGUUGAUCUUCCUGCAAACAAAAAAUAUUAAAUUCACAUCAUUACCCCAUCCACCACUCCAGCACAAAGCAAGGAUUAAGUAUGCAACCUUCCUUAUUUCCAUUGUUCAGCUACUCAUCCUCAAACCCAAUAAGCCAUCGAGAAGGCAAACAGAGCAACAUUCCCUAAACAUUCUGCAACACAAGAGGGAAGACAAACCUGUUUCAUUUCCUUCAUUAAGGACAUACUUGUUUUGAAGCUCUAAUCCAGCUUCUUCAGUGAAAAAGCCAUCUUCAUCCACUAAACAGUCCUAAAAUAGUGAAGAUCAAACCAAUUAAAACUGCAGCAAUUGCGAAUACAGUAUAUCAUCCAGUACUUGAUGAGCCAAAGUUUCCUCCAAUUAAACACUAGAAAAGACUGAAGCCAUUAUAUUCAGUCCCUGCCACGUACACCAUUGCUGAGCCACCGACAUCAACUCCCAUCCAAGGUCACUGUAUGAGGCUGAAUCAGACUGUUUGUCACCUCCAUGUCCUGUGUGAAUCUGAGCUGAGUUUCUGACCCCAUCUUUUUUUCCAAUCACAAAGUCCACCUAAUUCUAUGCCCAUUCUAUCACCUGUCUCCACCCUGCUUCAACCCAUCUGCUGAAGCCCUCAUUUGUACUUAUGUUACCUCCAGACUCCAAAUACUCUCCUAGCCAGUCUCCCAACUUUCACCCUUCAUAAACAUAAGCUUAUCCAAACAGUGCUAAGAAACUAUUUCCCUGACUGGGGUAUCUAGGGCUAUGGGGAAAGUCUAUAAAUUAGAGUCAGACCUUUCAGGAAUUAAAUUAGAAAACGUUUCUAUGCACAAGGGGUGGUAUAAGUUUGGAAGCCUCUUCCACAAAUGAGAAUCAAUGCGAGAUCACCUGUAAAUUUUAAAUCUGAGAUCGAUAGAUUUUUCUUAAUCGAGAGAUAUGUGGCAGAAGCAGAGAUAGAGGUUAGGUUGCAGGUCAGCCAUGAUUUCAUUAAAUGGUGGAACAGGCUCAAGGGAUUAAAUGGCCUACACCUGCUCCCAAGUCCGUACUCUAACUCACAACAACGCAUUCAGCCAUUACCACUGCAUUUGCUGACCUAUACUGACUCUAUAUAAAUACAAGUUGUUGUUGUAGUAGUAUAUACAUUUCUCCCAAUCUAACUUUAUUGAAUGCAUUAUUUUGGUAGAAUCAUUGAGCACAGGAGGAUGUUAUUUGGCCCAUCGUACCUGUGCUGGCAUUAUUAGAUAUUUGAAUUUUCUGUAUCUAGUAGAUCUGUAACUUACCACAAAGAGUUUGUGGUGUGAAGCGACACCAUAAUCCUCCAUUCCAUGAGCUGGGGCUGUAUGAACCAAUCCUGUCCCUUUAACCAUUGUCACAUGAUUAGCAGGCAAAAGCUGGGAUUCUCUUCCAGGAAUUGUGGGAUGGCUACAGACUCCACCUUCCAAAUCUGAACCUACAUUACGAGAAGUAGUGUAACUGAACCGAGUUAGGAAGAUAUUAAAAACGUAUCAAAAAUCCUGAAAAUCAGAGCCAUACUGGUAAGUUACUCAGUAAUAGCUAAUAUGACCAUAUGGACACUAGAAUUAGUCUCAGCAUCCCAGGAAUAAGGAGGAAGGGGAAAUAAAACAUAUUCUCUAUUCUGGUGGACAUGCAGCAAGCUCUGCUGAAAAUAGUCUUAUGCAGAAUUCAGGGUUUGACUAAAACACUUCCCAAAUUGUCUUCUAACAAACUCACAGUCAAGGGACGUAUCUGUAAAAUUAUCACUUGAACAACGUCCUAGAGGAAUAUUCUUGCUUUUGGAACCAUGCUUAAUAAUAGUUCCAACUUUCAGGACAGAGAUAAAAGAGAAAAAACUGGAGAUGGAAUAGAAUUUACGACACUGCAUUAUAAAGGGUUAUAAUCUUCAAUAGAGAAAAGAGAAAAUCAAAAUAAAUCAACUUUCAAUCCACGUACCUGUGACUGCCUGAAGAAUUUCAAACUGUGUUCCCAGGAUAGCUGCUAUAGAAUCUAUACAUUCUGUACCUAGAAGGUAGAGCUCCUCUGUGUUUAAGCACUUCACUAGGGAAUACCUGUAUUCAGAUACAACACGGCAAUGAAUUUGGAACUUACCCAGCUUUUGUAACCCAGACAUUUCUUUUAAACAAUUCCUCUAAGAUAAACCAAGAAUUUGAGCAUUCUUUCAUUUCUGUAAAAUAACCAGGUAAUUAGCAAUAUAAUCUGUACUGUGUGAUUAUAAUAAAUCCUCACUGUUGCACUA